rnacentral:rRNA from 1 species
AACGUAGGACGCAAGCGUUAUCCGGAAUUACUGGGCGUAAAGCGCGUGUAGGUGGUUUUAUAAGUCACUGUUGAAAGCUCCCGGCUAAACUGGGAGAGGUGCGGUGAGACUGUAGAGCUAGAGUUUGGGAGAGGGGUGCGGAAUUCCGGGUGUAGUGGUGAAAUGCGUAGAGAUCCGGAGGAACACCAGAGGCGAAGGCGGCACCCUGGCCUAAUACUGACACUGAGGCACGAAAGCGUGGGGAGCAAACAGG